UACGUAUGGUGCAAGCGUUAUCCGGAUUUACUGGGUGUAAAGGGAGCGCAGGCGGCAUGGUAAGCCAGAUGUGAAAGCCUUGGGCUUAACCCGAGGAUUGCAUUUGGAACUAUCAAGCUAGAGUACAGGGGAGGAAAGCGGAAUUCCUAGUGUAGCGGUGAAAUGCGUAGAUAUUAGGAAGAACACCAGUGGCGAAGGCGGCUUUCUGGACUGGAACUGACGCUGAGGCACGAAAGCGUGGGGAGCGAACAGG
rnacentral:rRNA from 1 species